GAUGAACGCUGGCGGCGUGCCUAAUACAUGCAAGUCGAGCGAACAGAUGAGAAGCUUGCUUCUCUGAUGUUAGCGGCGGACGGGUGAGUAACACGUGGGUAACCUACCUAUAAGACUGGAAUAACUCCGGGAAACCGGGGCUAAUACCGGAUAAUAUUUUGAACCGCAUGGUUCAAUAGUGAAAGACGGUUUCGGCUGUCACUUAUAGAUGGACCCGCGCCGUAUUAGCUAGUUGGUAAGGUAACGGCUUACCAAGGCGACGAUACGUAGCCGACCGGAGAGGGUGAUCGGCAACACUGGAACUGAGACACGGUCCAGACUCCUACGGGAGGCAGCAGUAGGGAAUCUUCCGCAAUGGGCGAAAGCCUGACGGAGCAACGCCGCGUGAGUGAUGAAGGUCUUCGGAUCGUAAAACUCUGUUGUUAGGGAAGAACAAAUUUGUUAGUAACUGAACAAGUCUUGACGGUACCUAACCAGAAAGCCACGGCUAACUACGUGCCAGCAGCCGCGGUAA
rnacentral:rRNA from 1 species